rnacentral:misc_RNA from 1 species
AACACUGUUAACCUGCGGUACCUGCGGAGGGAUCAUCACAGUGAUCGGGGUUGCGCGUGGGAGAGAUCUCGUGCGCCCCCACCAAUCUUUUGUGCACGGUUUCACGGUUGAAUGAGGCGUGUCGUGUGUGUGUUGGUGAGUCCCCCUGCUUGGUGGCUCGCCAACCGCAUGCGUGCGCUCUCUCCAAUGCAAUCUCUUGUGUAAUCUCUGUCUAACGUGAUACCACUCUAAUAAUAAUAC